GCUUCUGUAGCUCAGUUGAUUAGAGCGCUGCACCGGAAUCGCAGGGCCGUAGGUUCAAUUCCUACCAGAGGAC
rnacentral:tRNA from 1 species